AUUGAACGCUGGCGGCAGGCCUAACACAUGCAAGUCGAACGAGUGGCGGACGGGUGAGUAAUGUCUGGGAAACUGCCCGAUGGAGGGGGAUAACUACUGGAAACGGUAGCUACUACCGCAUACCAUCGGAUGUGCCCAGAUGGGAUUAGCUAGUCGGUGGGGUAACGGCUCACCUAGGCGACGAGCCCUAGCUGGUCUGAGAGGAUGACCAGCCACACUGGAACUGAGAAACUGUCCAGAAGCCUACGGUAGGCAGCAGUGGGGAAUAUUGCACAAUGGGCGCAAGCCUGAUGCAGCCAUGCCGCGUGUAUGAAGAAGGCCUUCGGGUUGUAAAGGACUUUCAGCGAGGAGGCGUUACUCGCAGAAGAAGCACCGGCUAACUCCGUGCCAGCAGCCGCGGUAAUUU
rnacentral:rRNA from 1 species